GACCCACCUGAUCCCAUCCCGAACUCAGAAGUGAAACCACUUAGCGCCGAUGGUAGUGUGGGGUCUCCCCAUGUGAGAGUAGGACAU
rnacentral:rRNA from 1 species